rnacentral:rRNA from 1 species
GUGAGGAAUAUUGCGCAAUGGAGGCAACUCUGACGCAGCCAUGCCGCGUGCAGGAAGAAGGCGCUACGCGUUGUAAACUGCUUUUAACCGGGAAGAAACCCCAGGACGUGUCCUGGGUUGACGGUACCGGAGGAAUAAGCACCGGCUAACUUCGCGCCAGCAGCAGCGGUAAUACGAAGGGUGCAAGCGUUAUCCGGAUUCAUUGGGUUUAACGGGUGCGUAGUCGGAGCGUUAAGUCAGUGGUGAAAUCCUGCAGCUUAACUGUAGACUUGCCAGUGAUACUGGCGCUCUUGAGUGCGCUUGAAGUGGGCGGAAUGUGCCGUGUAGCGGUGAAAUGCUUAGAUAUGACACAGAACACCAAUUGCGAAGGCAGCUCACUAAGGCGAUACUGACGCUGAGGCACGAAAGCGUGGGGAUCGAACAGGAUUAGAUACCCUAGUAGUCC